CUGUGUGUGAGAGUGCUGUGAGUGCUGUGAGAGUGCUGUGAGUGAGAGUGCUGUGUGAGAGUGCUGUGUGUGAUGUGUGUGAUUGCUGUGUGUGAGAGUGCUGUGUGUGAUGUGUGAGAGUGCUGUGUGUGAUGGGUGUGAGUGCUGUGAGUGAUGUGUGUGAGAGUGAUGUGAGUGCUGUGUGUGAUGGGUGUGAGAGUGCUGUGUGUGAUGGGUGUGAGAGUGCUGUAUAAAUGUUAGAAUGGAUUGUGUGUGUUGGGGGGCAAAAAAAAAAACACCCCAAAAACCAGGCAUUAAAUCCCCCCCUCCCUUCUUACCUUUAGCCUGGGAGGGGGGGACCGUCACGCUGGCACCUCGUGGGUGAGUGAACUCUAGCCUGUAGGGCUAGAGUUCACUCUCGCGAGAUCCGCAUAGCAACGCGCUGGAUCUCGCGAGAGGAAC